UGCAGUCGAGCGGCAGCGGGAAAGUAGCUUGCUACUUUUGCCGGCGAGCGGCGGACGGGUGAGUAAUGCCUGGGGAUCUGCCCAGUCGAGGGGGAUAACUACUGGAAACGGUAGCUAAUACCGCAUACGCCCUACGGGGGAAAGCAGGGGACCUUCGGGCCUUGCGCGAUUGGAUGAACCCAGGUGGGAUUAGCUAGUUGGUGAGGUAAUGGCUCACCAAGGCGACGAUCCCUAGCUGGUCUGAGAGGAUGAUCAGCCACACUGGAACUGAGACACGGUCCAGACUCCUACGGGAGGCAGCAGUGGGGAAUAUUGCACAAUGGGGGAAACCCUGAUGCAGCCAUGCCGCGUGUGUGAAGAAGGCCUUCGGGUUGUAAAGCACUUUCAGCGAGGAGGAAAGGUUGGUAGCUAAUAACUGCC
rnacentral:rRNA from 1 species